ensembl:snRNA U6 U6 spliceosomal RNA
GUGCUCGCUUCAGCAGCACAUAUACUAAAAUUGGAACGGUACAGAGAAGAUUAGCAUGCUCAAGGUCGAUGACGGGAGAGAGAGAAUGACAGCAUUACC